CCUACGGGUGGCAGCAGUGAGGAAUAUUGGUCAAUGGACGAGAGUCUGAACCAGCCAAGUAGCGUGAAGGAUGACUGCCCUAUGGGUUGUAAACUUCUUUUAUAUGGGAAUAAAAUGUUCCACGUGUGGGAUUUUGUAUGUACCAUAUGAAUAAGGAUCGGCUAACUCCGUGCCAGCAGCCGCGGUAAUACGGAGGAUCCGCGCGUUAUCCGGAUUUAUUGGGUUUAAAGGGAGCGUAGGUGGAUUGUUAAGUCAGUUGUGAAAGUUUGCGGCUCAACCGUAAAAUUGCAGUUGAAACUGGCAGUCUUGAGUGCAGUAGAGGUGGGCGGAAUUCGAGGUGUAGCGGUGAAAUGCUUAGAUAUCACGAAGAACUCCGAUUGCGAAGGCAGUUCACUGGACUGCAACUGACACUGAGGCUCGAAAGUGUGGGUAUCAAACAGGAUUAGAUACCCCAGUAGUC
rnacentral:rRNA from 1 species